UACGGGGGGUGCAAGCGUUGUCCGGAUUUACUGGGCGUAAAGAGCGCGCAGGCGGUCGAGUAAGUCGAAUGUGAAAGCCCCCGGCUCAACUGGGGAGGGUCAUUCGAUACUGAUCGACUCGAAGGCAGGAGAGGGUAGUGGAAUUCCCGGUGUAGUGGUGAAAUGCGUAGAUAUCGGGAGGAACACCAGUGGCGAAGGCGACUACCUGGCCUGUUCUUGACGCUGAGGCGCGAAAGCUAGGGGAGCAAACGGG
rnacentral:rRNA from 1 species